GGUUAUGUAGCAUAUUUGGGAAUGCUUUAGAUUGCAAAUUUAAGUAAAGAGGUUCAAAUCCUCUCUUAACCU
rnacentral:tRNA from 1 species